ACGAUGGCCACACUGUCUCCUCCCGAGACUCAGCGAAGUUGAAGUGGUUGUGAAGAUGCAAUCUACCCGCUGCUAGACGGAAAGACCCCGUGAACCUUUACUGUAGCUUUGCAUUGGACUUUGAAGUCACUUGUGUAGGAUAGGUGGGAGGCUUGGAAGCAGAGACGCCAGUCUCUGUGGAGUCGUCCUUGAAAUACCACCCUGGUGUCUUUGAGGUUCUAACCCAGACCCGUCAUCCGGGUCGGGGACCGUGCAUGGUAGGCAGUUUGACUGGGGCGGUCUCCUCCCAAAGCGUAACGGAGGAGUUCGAAGGUUACCUAGGUCCGGUCGGAAAUCGGACUGAUAGUGCAAUGGCAAAAGGUAGCUUAACUGCGAGACCGACAAGUCGGGCAGGUGCGAAAGCAGGACAUAGUGAUCCGGUGGUUCUGUAUGGAAGGGCCAUCGCUCAACGGAUAAAAGGUACUCCGGGGAUAACAGGCUGAUUCCGCCCAAGAGUUCAUAUCGACGGCGGAGUUUGGCACCUCGAUGUCGGCUCAUCACAUCCUGGGGCUGUAGUCGGUCCCAAGGGUAUGGCUGUUCGCCAUUUAAAGUGGUACGUGAGCUGGGUUUAAAACGUCGUGAGACAGUUUGGUCCCUAUCUGCAGUGGGCGUUGGAAGUUUGACGGGGGCUGCUCCUA
rnacentral:rRNA from 1 species